CAGUUGACUUCCUGCAAGAUGGUGUUUGUCUCUGAAAUGUGUCAAUUCAUGUACAACUGUGGAGAGAUAAUGUAUGACCUGAAAGAGGACACAUCAAGCCACAACAGGAUCAUGAAGGAAAUCUGGGGAGAUCUCAACAGCUUCGUGACAGUCUUAAUCUUUGGUAUAAUUGUCUAAAUUGAUGGAACAUCUUUUAUUAACUGAUGGAGGUGCAUCCUGCCCUUUCAGAAGUCAAAUAAACAGUUUGAAUUUCCUGCUGGCGAAGGGGCCCUGGUGAUGAUUUGAAUGCCUGCAGCUUUCUAUCCCUGUGACCAGACCAGACAUGUUCCUAUCAUCUGCAUCCUCACAGGAGGGACAAGCCCUCACCUGCGUAUAGACAUCAACCCACAGGAAACAUCUCAGGAGAGGAGUUAGCAGGACCAAAUCAGAUCUACAUGCAAGACUGGAUCAGAAUGCAAAGCUCCUGUUGGCUCUGCCUCUCAAUCCCACCUACGUUUUUACCUCAUGGUGGGUCCCACGUUGGUCAUUGUGGUUGGUCCAUCCAAAAGAAUCUAGAAUAUUCAGAACCACUCUAACUUAUUACUGUGUGUUCACUACUGUCAGAGGUCUGGGAAAGCCAGUCCUCAGCUUACCUUGGUGGCAAAUGUCUCCAGUAUGUCUGGUCGUUAUGCUUCACGUCUCUGUCUGGAGUAUAGGCUCAGAUUUAAGGAGUUUAAGAUCACAUCCUGGGUUUCUACACUUUCAUUUUGUGUCCUGUAAAACUCUCCCCCUUGACAUUGCAGGAAGUGAAGAGAGAUGGAGGAGCACUCCGCGACCAAGCCUACUCUGUGUUUGGCGCUCUUUCUUAGUUCUUUGUUCUAUGAAGCCCCACAGCAUUCUGUAAUGGUUCUCGGGGUUCUGGGAGCCUCCUUAAGUAUUAGUGGUCUGGUGGGGAGAGUUUCUCUCAAGCCUACUCUAUCUGUGAAUGGUGGCCAGCACUUCUCUCCGCAAUUCUGAGGAAAGGAAGAGUAAAUUAAGGCUGUCCCCCAAACCUACAUGACUCCACAAGAAGUACCUAAGCAGACAAGAAGGAAUAUUAAAACACUAUAGAUGAUUACAUGUAGAGAGUUGAGGGGAGUUGAUCACUUAUUCAUCUUUUGUCCAAGUCAAAGAGUUUCUUUGGGAGAGAGGCUUCUGCCCACUGAUUAAUAAUCAACAUUUGGAAGGAAGCACGCUGUCUGAUUGACAACUCCUCAAAAGGGCUUCAUUGUAACUCAGUUCAGCUCACCUGUAGCAAAUGACUUUCUUCAAAUCAUCUUGGAUUCCUGGAAGUACUGAUCUUUCCUUCUCCUAUGGACACACACACACACACACACACACACACACACACACACACACACACACACAAUUGCAAGGCUCUCACACCAAAAGAGAUAAAAAGUUUAUUCUGAAGCCAAAUGUAUCUGAUCAUGGCUGAGGAAACACAGAUCUAAGUUAUGCCAGGCUCCAUGUCCACACUUGGAUGCUGCUUCACGGAGUUUCAUAGUAACCGAGCAAAGAAUGUCAUAAAUUAAGGCAAUCCAGGACUCGAGCCUAGGGAACCCAUAUUUUAGGUAGGUCUUCCUAUCUUAGUAAACCUAAUGAAGAUGAUCCCUCACAGUCAACCCCAGGGAUUAAUCUAAUCUAGAUAAUCCCUCAAGGGAGUGCCUAUAGGCUCCCAGUUAAUCCCAUCGCUUAUCAAGUUGGUUGUCCAUAUGAAGUCACACACACACACACACACACACA